AUUGAGCGCUGGCGGCAUGCUUUACACAUGCAAGUCGAACGGUAGAGGGGCAACCCUUGAGAGUGGCGAACGGGUGAGUAAUGCAUCGGAACGUGCCCAGUAGUGGGGGAUAGCCCGGCGAAAGCCGGAUUAAUACCGCAUGAGACCUGAGGGUGAAAGCGGGGGAUCGCAAGACCUCGCGCUAUUGGAGCGGCCGAUGUCAGAUUAGCUAGGUGGUGGGGUAAAGGCCUACCAAGGCGACGAUCUGUAGCUGGUCUGAGAGGCCGACCAGCCACACUGGGACUGAGACACGGCCCAGACUCCUACGGGAGGCAGCAGUCGGGAAUUUUGGACAAUGGGCGCAAGCCUGAUCCAGCCAUGCCGCGUGCGGGAAGAAGGCCUUCGGGUUGUAAACCGCUUUUGUCAGGGAAGAAAUCUUCUGGGCUAAUACCCUGGGAGGAUGACGGUACCUGAGAAUAAGCACCGGCUAACUACGUGCCAGCCGCCGCAGUAACAC
rnacentral:rRNA from 1 species